GACGAACGCUGGCGGCGUGCCUAAUACAUGCAAGUAGAACGCUGAAGAGAGGAGCUUGCUCUUCUUGGAUGAGUUGCGAACGGGUGAGUAACGCGUAGGUAACCCGCCUUGUAGCGGGGGAUAACUAUUGGAAACGAUAGCUAAUACCGCAUAACAAUGGAUGACACAUGUCAUUUAUUUGAAAGGGGCAAUUGCUCCACUACAAGAUGGACCUGCGUUGUAUUAGCUAGUAGGUGAGGUAAUGGCUCACCUAGGCGACGAUACAUAGCCGACCUGAGAGGGUGACCGGCCACACUGGGACUGAGACACGGCCCAGACUCCUACGGGAGGCACAAGUAGGGAAUCUUCGGCAAUGGGGGAAACCCUGCCCGAGCACCGCCGCGUGAGUGAGGAAGGUUUUCGGAUCGUAAAGCUCUGUUGUAAGUCAAGAACGGGUGUGAGAUUGGAAAGUUCAAACUGGGACGGUAGCUUACAGAAAGGGACGGCUAACUACGUG
rnacentral:rRNA from 1 species